rnacentral:rRNA from 1 species
AGUGAAUGCUGGCGGUAGGCCUAACACAUGCAAGUCGAACGGCAGCACAGUAAGAGCUUGCUCUUACGGGUGGCGAGUGGCGGACGGGUGAGGAAUACAUCGGAAUCUACUUUUUCGUGGGGGAUAACGUAGGGAAACUUACGCUAAUACCGCAUACGACCUACGGGUGAAAGCAGGGGAUCUUCGGACCCUGCGCGAUUGAAUGAGCCGAUGUCGGAUUAGCUAGUUGGCGGGGUAAAGGCCCACCAAGGCGACGAUCCGUAGCUGGUCUGAGAGGAUGAUCAGCCACACUGGAACUGAGACACGGUCCAGACUCCUACGGGAGGCAGCAGUGGGGAAUAUUGGACAAUGGGCGCAAGCCUGAUCCAGCCAUACCGCGUGGGUGAAGAAGGCCUUCGGGUUGUAAAGCCCUUUUGUUGGGAAAGAAAAGCAGCAGGUUAAUACCCCGCUGUUCUGACGGUACCCAAAGAAUAAGCACCGGCUAACUUCGUG